UCAUGGUUCAGUUGGUAGAGUGUUUGCCUUACAAGCACAAGGUCCUGGGUUCAAGUCCCAGCACUGCAAAA